GACGAGAAGCUUGCUUCUCUGAUGUUAGCGGCGGACGGGUGAGUAACACGUGGAUAACCUACCUAUAAGACUGGGAUAACUUCGGGAAACCGGAGCUAAUACCGGAUAAUAUUUUGAACCGCAUGGUUCAAAAGUGAAAGACGGUCUUGCUGUCACUUAUAGAUGGAUCCGCGCUGCAUUAGCUAGUUGGUAAGGUAACGGCUUACCAAGGCAACGAUGCAUAGCCGACCUGAGAGGGUGAUCGGCCACACUGGAACUGAGACACGGUCCAGACUCCUACGGGAGGCAGCAGUAGGGAAUCUUCCGCAAUGGGCGAAAGCCUGACGGAGCAACGCCGCGUGAGUGAUGAAGGUCUUCGGAUCGUAAAACUCUGUUAUUAGGGAAGAACAUAUGUGUAAGUAACUGUGCACAUCUUGACGGUACCUAAUCAGAAAGCCACGGCUAACUACGUGCCAGCAGCCGCGGUAAUACGUAGGUGGCAAGCGUUAUCCGGAAUUAUUGGGCGUAAAGCGCGCGUAGGCGGUUUUUUAAGUCUGAUGUGAAAGCCCACGGCUCAACCGUGGAGGGUCAUUGGAAACUGGAAAACUUGAGUGCAGAAGAGGAAAGUGGAAUUCCAUGUGUAGCGGUGAAAUGCGCAGAGAUAUGGAGGAACACCAGUGGCGAAGGCGACUUUCUGGUCUGUAACUGACGCUGAUGUGCG
rnacentral:rRNA from 1 species